rnacentral:rRNA from 1 species
CGGACGGGUGAGUAACGCGUGAGAAUCUGGCUUUAGGUUCGGGACAACAGUGGGAAACUGCUGCUAAUACCGGAUGUGCCGUAAGGUGAAAGAUUAAUUGCCUGAAGAAGAGCUCGCGUCUGAUUAGCUAGUUGGUGAGGUAAAGGCUCACCAAGGCGACGAUCAGUAACUGGUCUGAGAGGAUGACCAGUCACACUGGGACUGAGACACGGCCCAGACUCCUACGGGAGGCAGCAGUGGGGAAUUUUCCGCAAUGGGCGAAAGCCUGACGGAGCAAUACCGCGUGAGGGAGGAAGGCUCUUGGGUUGUAAACCUCUUUUCUCAGGGAAGAACAAAAUGACGGUACCUGAGGAAUAAGCAUCGGCUAACUCCGUGCCAGCAGCCGCGGUAAUACGGAGGAUGCAAGCGUUAUCCGGAAUUAUUGGGCGUAAAGCGUCCGCAGGUGGCAAUUCAAGUCUGCUGUUAAAGGUUCUGGCUCAACCAGAGACAGGCAGUGGRAACUGAAUAGCUAGAGUGCGGUAGGGGCAGAGGGAAUUCCCAGUGUAGCGGUGAAAUGCGUAGAGAUUGGGAAGAACACCGGUGGCGAAAGYGCUCUGCUAGGCCGUAACUGACACUCAUGGACGAAAGCUAGGGGAGCGAAUGGGAUUAGAUACCCCAGUAGUC